UCAUUCUCUCGGUGGUUAAUGUUAACUGGGGUCCCAAACCGUUCAAAUUUAAUUCUGCUUGGCUCGGCGUUGACGGCUUCAAGGAGAAAAUAGUGGAGUGUUGGCCCUCUCCCCAGGUGGAUGGAUUCGCAGGUCAUAGGUUGAUUUGCAGACUCAGAUUUAUUAAGGAAAAGCUGAAAGAAUGGAAGGAAGAAGAAUAUCGGAAGAGAGAGCUUGAGACUGAAGCUUUAUUCGCUGAAUUACAUCAUAUCGACUCUUCGGUUGAAGGCAUAGACCUUCCAAUGGAUGUUCUAUCUAGACGUAUUCAGAUCAUUCAAUCCUUGUCGUCCAGAUCUCUUGAAGACGAGCAAUCUUGGAGGCUGAAAUCAAGGACUAGGUGGAUUUCGGAAGGCGAUAAGAACACUAAAUAUUUUCACAGCAUCGCCAACAUGAGGGCUUGGGCUAAAGCCAUUCAUAGCAUUACAAUAGAAGGUAGACAGGUGGAUGAUAGAGACAAGAUAUCUGAAAUAGCAGUGGCUCACUUCAGAGCCGUUCUCUCAUCCGAGGGAUGGCCUAGACCUCGUCUGGACGGGAUCCCUUUUCUCUCUCUUCUCAGGUCGGACGCGGAUCUUCUGGAGGCCCAGUUUUCAUAAGAGGAAGCUAAAGCGGUUGUUGAUGCGAUGGAAUGUGAUAAAUCCCUAGGGCCUAAUGGGUUUCCCAUCUCCUUCUUUCAAAUUUUCUGAGACACUGUUCGUCUGGAUGUCAUGGCUUUUCUUAACGAAUUCCAUUCCAGGGGAAAGUUAUCUAAGGGCAUCGGUGCUUCCUUCAUUGCCUUCAUCCCCAAAGUUGUUGGUGCCAAUUCUUUUUUAGAUUUCAGGUCCAUUAGCUUGAUCAGUAGCCCAUACAAAAUCCUGGCCAAAAUUCUAUCCACUAGAUUAUCGACUGUCAUGGGGAAAUUGAUCUCGAAGUAUCAGAAUGCCUUCAUAAGAGGUAGACAGAUAAUAAACGGCGCUUUGAUUGUUAAUGAAGUUCUUCAUUCCUGCGACAAGUCGGGGAAGAAAACCAUAUUCUGCAAGCUCGACAUAGAGAAGGCUUACGACCACGUCGACUGGGGAUUCUUACAUUAUAUGUUGCACUGCAUGGGGUUUGGAGAAAAAUGGAGGCAAUGGAUUAAGGCAUGCAUAGAACCAGCCCACUUUUCAAUCCCUCUCAAUGGUGCUCUGAAAGGCUUCUUCCCCAGUUCAAGAGGUCUCCGCUAAGGGGACCCUCUUUCUCCCCUUCUGUUUCUGAUCAUUGGUGAAGCCCUCUCUCAGAUGCUUCUUAAAGGUCAAAGUGUUGGUCUCUUCCGUGGGAUCUCAAUGCCGGGCUCCUUAACGCCAAUCUCCCAUAUCUAAUUUGCAGACGACACUCUCAUCAUGGUAGAAGCGGAAGCUGAAGCUAUCAAUAAUCUCCACACGACUCUCAGGUGCUUUGAAGCAGUCUCCGGGCUGAG